rnacentral:pre_miRNA from 1 species
UGAGGUAGUAGGUUGUAUGGUUCGGUAUUACACAGCCGCGUUGCCGGAUAGACUCUAAAAAAGAUUGGACAAACCGGAUGGGUAAUUCCAUUUCGGUUCCGUUUCUUUCUUUUUGUUGAGAACAAAUGGCGCGCGCCACGGUGGAACUGUACAACUUGCUAACUUUCC